GUAGAAUUCCACGUGUAGCAGUGAAAUGCGUAGAGAUGUGGAGGAAUACCGAUGGCGAAGGCAGCCCCCUGGGAUAACACUGACGUUCAUGCUCGAAAGCGUGGGUAGCAAACAGGAUUAGAUACCCUGGUAGUCCACGCCCUAAACGAUGUCGAUUAGCUGUUGGGCAACUUGAUUGCUUAGUAGCGUAGCUAACGCGUGAAAUCGACCGCCUGGGGAGUACGGUCGCAAGAUUAAAACUCAAAGGAAUUGACGGGGACCCGCACAAGCGGUGGAUGAUGUGGAUUAAUUCGAUGCAACGCGAAGAACCUUACCUGGUCUUGACAUGUACGGAACCUUCCAGAGACGGAAGGGUGCCUUCGGGAGCCGUAACACAGGUGCUGCAUGGCUGUCGUCAGCUCGUGUCGUGAGAUGUUGGGUUAAGUCCCGCAACGAGCGCAACCCUUGUCAUUAGUUGCCAUCAUUUAGUUGGGCACUCUAAUGAGACUGCCGGUGACAAACCGGAGGAAGGUGGGGAUGACGUCAAGUCCUCAUGGCCCUUAUGACCAGGGCUUCACACGUCAUACAAUGGUCGGUACAGAGGGUAGCCAAGCCGCGAGGUGGAGCCAAUCCCAGAAAACCGAUCGUAGUCCGGAUUGCACUCUGCAACUCGAGUGCAUGAAGUCGGAAUCGCUAGUAAUCGCAGGUCAGCAUACUGCGGUGAAUACGUUCCCGGGUCUUGUACACACCGCCCGUCACACCAUGGGAGUGGGGGAUACCAGAAGCAGGUAGGGUAACCGCAAGGAGCCCGCUUGCCACGGUAUGCUUCAU
rnacentral:rRNA from 1 species